rnacentral:rRNA from 1 species
ACGGCUCAGUAACACGUAGUCAACAUGCCCAGGGGACGUGGAUAACCUCGGGAAACUGAGGAUAAACUGCGAUAGACCAAGGUUUCUGGAAUGGACACUGGCCGAAACCUAUAUGGCCCCUGGAUUGGACUGCGGCCGAUCAGGCUGUUGGUGAGGUAAUGGCCCACCAAACCUGUAACCGGUACGGGCUUUGAGAGAAGGAGCCCGGAGAUGGGCACUGAGACAAGGGCCCAGGCCCUAUGGGGCGCAGCAGGCGCGAAACCUCUGCAAUAGGCGAAAGCUUGACAGGGUUACUCUGAGUGAUGUCCGCUAAGGGCAUCUUUUGGCACCUCUAAAAAUGGUGCAGAAUAAGGGGUGGGCAAGUCUGGUGUCAGCCGCCGCGGUAAUACCAGCACCCCGAGUGGUCGGGACGAUUAUUGGGCCUAAAGCAUCCGUAGCUUGUCCUGCAAGUCCUCCGUUAAAUCCACCUGCUCAACAGAUGGGCUGCGGGGGAUACUACAGGGCUAGGAGGCGGGAGAGGCAAACGGUACUCAGUGGGUAGGGGUAAAAUCCACUGAUCCACUGAAGACCACCAGUGGCGAAGGCGGUUUGCCAGAACGCGCUCGACGGUGAGGGAUGAAAGCUGGGGGAGCAAACCGGAUUAGAUACCCGGGUAGUCCCAGCUGUAAACGAUGCAGACUCGGUGAUGGGUUAGCUUUGAGCCAACCCAGUGCCGCAGGGAAGCCGUUAAGUCUGCCGCCUGGGGAGUACGGUCGCAAGACUGAAACUUAAAGGAAUUGGCGGGGGAG